rnacentral:rRNA from 1 species
GAUGAACGCUGGCGGCGUGCCUAAUACAUGCAAGUCGAGCGAACGGACGAGAAGCUUGCUUCUCUGAUGUUAGCGGCGGACGGGUGAGUAACACGUGGAUAACCUACCUAUAAGACUGGGAUAACUUCGGGAAACCGGAGCUAAUACCGGAUGAUAUUUUGAACCGCAUGGUUCAAAAGUGAAAGACGGUCUUGCUGUCACUUAUAGAUGGAUCCGCGCUGCAUUAGCUAGUUGGUAAGGUAACGGCUUACCAAGGCAACGAUGCAUAGCCGACCUGAGAGGGUGAUCGGCCACACUGGAACUGAGACACGGUCCAGACUCCUACGGGAGGCAGCAGUAGGGAAUCUUCCGCAAUGGGCGAAAGCCUGACGGAGCAACGCCGCGUGAGUGAUGAAGGUCUUCGGAUCGUAAAACUCUGUUAUUAGGGAAGAACAUAUGUGUAAGUAACUGUGCAUAUCUUGACGGUACCUAAUCAGAAAGCCACGGCUAACUACGUG